GUGCCAGCAGCCGCGGUAAUACGGAGGAUUCGAGCGUUAUCCGGAUUUAUUGGGUUUAAAGGGUGCGUAGGCGGACCAAUAAGUCAGUGGUGAAAUACAUCAGCUUAACUGAUGCACUGCCAUUGAUACUGUUGGACUAGAAUAUAAAUGGUGCAGGGGGAAUGAAUAAGGUAGAGUGUAAAUUCAUAGAUAUGAUUCAGAACACCGAUCGCGAAGGCAGCUUGCAAAGAUAUUAUUGACGC
rnacentral:rRNA from 1 species